CAGUCGAACGGGAAUUACUUUAUUGAAACUUCGGUCGAUUUAAUUUAAUUCUAGUCGCUUACGGGUGAGUAACGCGUGGGUAACCUGCCUUGUACAGGGGGAUAACAGUCAGAAAUGACUGCUAAUACCGCAUAAGCGCACAGGACCGCAUGGUCCGGUGUGAAAAACUCCGGUGGUAUAAGAUGGACCCGCGUUGGAUUAGCUAGUUGGCAGGGUAACGGCCUACCAAGGCGACGAUCCAUAGCCGGCCUGAGAGGGUGAACGGCCACAUUGGGACUGGGACACGGCCCAGACUCCUACGGGAGGCAGCAGUGGGGAAUAUUGCACAAUGGGGGAAACCCUGAUGCAGCGACGCCGCGUGAAGGAAGAAGUAUCUCGGUAUGUAAACUUCUAUCAGCAGGGAAGAAAAUGACGGUACCUGACUAAGAAGCCCCGGCUAACUACGUGCCAGCAGCCGCGGUAAUACGUAGGGGGCAAGCGUUAUCCGGAAUUACUGGGUGUAAAGGGAGCGUAGGCGGCAUGGUAAGCCAGAUGUGAAAGCCCGAAGCUUAACUUCGAGGAUUGCAUUUGGAACUAUCAAGCUAGAGUACAGGAGAGGAAAGCGGAAUUCCUAGUGUAGCGGUGAAAUGCGUAGAUAUUAGGAAGAACACCAGUGGCGAAGGCGGCUUUCUGGACUGAAACUGACGCUGAGGCUCGAAAGCGUGGGGAGCAAACAGGAUUAGAUACCCUGGUAGUCCACGC
rnacentral:rRNA from 1 species